rnacentral:rRNA from 1 species
CCUACGGGUGGCAGCAGUGGGGAAUAUUGCACAAUGGGGGAAACCCUGAUGCAGCGACGCCGCGUGAGUGAAGAAGUAAUUCGUUAUGUAAAGCUCUAUCAGCAGGGAAGAAAAUGACGGUACCUGAGGAAGAAGCCCCGGCUAACUACGUGCCAGCAGCCGCGGUAAUACGUAGGGGGCAAGCGUUAUCCGGAUUGACUGGGUUAAAAGGGAGCGUAGACGGCAGUGAAAGUCUGGAGUGAAAGGCGGGGGCUCAACCCCCGGACUGCUCUGGAAACUGUACGGCUGGAGUGCGGGAGAGGUAAGUAGAAUUCCUAGUGUAGCGGUGAAAUGCGUAGAUAUUAGGAGGAACACCAGUGGCGAAGGCGGCUUACUGGACUGUAACUGACGUUGAGGCUCGAAAGCGUGGGGAGCAAACAGGAUUAGAUACCCUGGUAGUC